UUGAAAGCGCGUGGCAAAGCUGUUUGCUUUGUAGCGGAAAUAGCAACAGAAGAAAUGAAUAAGAACAACAAAACAAAAGAAAUUGAGAAGGGCGAAGGACAAGAGAUGGUUGCAGUUAGUGCGUCGGCAUUAGGGUCCUCGAUCCAUGUUAUGCUUUGUUUGCAAGGUGAAAUGGCUUUGUUCAGCUUUGGUGCAACCGUGUCGAAAAUGCCAAAAAAACUCAAACUGCGUUCUAGGAAAGACCCACACGACACAGCAGUUAAGACUAAGUUGGGCACCGAAAACGGAACGUUCUUUGUGUUUAAAUACGUCGGCGCAGACUUUAGCCGCCAUGAUAAUAGCUUUUGGGGGAGAAUGAAGACACUACAGUCCUUGAGUUAGAAAAAGCAAUGGACUUGAAAAUAUCUAAAAAUAGUGCAGACUCUUCCGAAUAAUGUGCAAGACAAGAUCUGUUGAAUGUCCGCUGAUAUCUAUCAGUCAGUCAAGCUCUAGCACCCUAUCGAGUAGAAAAGACAAUAAAGGAGGUGAGCUCUCAAGGCACGUUUGUCCCAGUGAGCUCCAUAAAUCAUCACAUGAUUUUGAGACUUUGGGUAAUUUAUGCAUUCCCAAGGAGAAAAAAAGCCGCACCCUGAAAUGUUGAAAUCUCAGAACAAAGGAAAAGUAACAGAAAACUUUUUAGCGAAGCCAAAAAAAGCAACAAGGCAGUUAAACAAGGAAUCCUGGAAAAUACCCUGCAAUGUAAUCUAUGGAAGUUCAGAGGGAAACUCUCUGAAGAAAGUUCUUAAGCGCCAGGUGGUGAAAAAACUAUAUUUUGCUACAGAAAGAACAUAAAAUGAACCUUCUUUUUAUGCGUAAAGC